rnacentral:rRNA from 1 species
UACGUAGGGUGCAAGCGUUGUCCGGAAUUAUUGGGCGUAAAGAGCGUGUAGGCGGCCCGACCAGUCCGCUGUGAAAGUCCAGGGCUCAACCCUGGAAUGCCGGUGGAUACUGUCGGGCUAGAGUCCGGAAUGGGCGAGUGGAAUUCCUGGUGUAGCGGUGAAAUGCGCAGAUAUCAGGAGGAAUACCGAUGGCGAAGGCAGCCCCCUGGGUCGAUACUGACGCUCAUGCACGAAAGCGUGGGGAGCAAACAGG